rnacentral:rRNA from 1 species
GACGAACGCUGGCGGCGUGCUUAACACAUGCAAGUCGAACGGUGAACCCCGCUUGCGGGGGGAUCAGUGGCGAACGGGUGAGUAACACGUGGGCAACCUGCCCCCGGCUCUGGGAUAACUCCAAGAAAUUGGGGCUAAUACCGGAUAUUCAUCGCUGUCCGCAUGGGCGGUGGUGGAAAGAUUUAUCGGCUGGGGAUGGGCCCGCGGCCUAUCAGCUUGUUGGUGGGGUAGUGGCCUACCAAGGCGACGACGGGUAGCCGGCCUGAGAGGGUGACCGGCCACACUGGGACUGAGACACGGCCCAGACUCCUACGGGAGGCAGCAGUGGGGAAUAUUGCGCAAUGGGCGAAAGCCUGACGCAGCGACGCCGCGUGGGGGAUGACGGCCUUCGGGUUGUAAACCUCUUUCAGCUCCGACGAAGCGCAAGUGACGGUAGGAGCAGAAGAAGCACCGGCCAACUACGUGCCAGCAGCCGCUGUAAUAC